rnacentral:rRNA from 1 species
GUGCUAAUCUGCGAUAAGCGCCGGUAAGGUGAUAUGAACCGUUAUAACCGGCGAUACCCGAAUGGGGAAACCCAGUGUGAUUCGUCACACUAUCAUUAACUGAAUCCAUAGGUUAAUGAGGCGAACCGGGGGAACUGAAACAUCUAAGUACCCCGAGGAAAAGAAAUCAACCGAGAUUCCCCCAGUAGCGGCGAGCGAACGGGGAGGAGCCCAGAGCCUGAAUCAGCAUGUGUGUUAGUGGAAGCGUCUGGAAAGGCGCGCGAUACAGGGUGACAGCCCCGUACACAAAAGCGCAUGUGCUGUGAGCUCGAUGAGUAGGGCGGGACACGUGGUAUCCUGUCUGAAUAUGGGGGGACCAUCCUCCAAGGCUAAAUACUCCUGACUGACCGAUAGUGAACCAGUACCGUGAGGGAAAGGCGAAAAGAACCCCGGCGAGGGGAGUGAAAAAGAACCUGAAACCGUGUACGUACAAGCAGUGGGAGCACCCUUCGGGGUGUGACUGCGUACCUUUUGUAUAAUGGGUCAGCGACUUAUAUUCUGUAGCAAGGUUAACCGAAUAGGGGAGCCGGAGGGAAACCGAGUCUUAAUUGGGCGUUAAGUUGCAGGGUAUAGACCCGAAACCCGGUGAUCUAGCCAUGGGCAGGUUGAAGGUUGGGUAACACUAACUGGAGGACCGAACCGACUAAUGUUGAAAAAUUAGCGGAUGACCUGUGGCUGGGGGUGAAAGGCCAAUCAAACCGGGAGAUAGCUGGUUCUCCCCGAAAGCUAUUUAGGUAGCGCCUCGUGAAUUCAUCUCCGGGGGUAGAGCACUGUUUCGGCUAGGGGGCCAUCCCGGCUUACCAACCCGAUGCAAACUGCGAAUACCGGAGAAUGUUAUCACGGGAGACACACGGCGGGUGCUAACGUCCGUCGUGAAGAGGGAAACAACCCAGACCGCCAGCUAAGGUCCCAAAGUCAUGGUUAAGUGGGAAACGAUGUGGGAAGGCCCAGACAGCCAGGAUGUUGGCUUAGAAGCAGCCAUCAUUUAAAGAAAGCGUAAUAGCUCACUGGUCGAGUCGGCCUGCGCGGAAGAUGUAACGGGGCUAAACCAUGCACCGAAGCUGCGGCAGCGACACUGUGUGUUGUUGGGUAGGGGAGCGUUCUGUAAGCCUGCGAAGGUGGCCUGUGAGGGUUGCUGGAGGUAUCAGAAGUGCGAAUGCUGACAUAAGUAACGAUAAAGCGGGUGAAAAGCCCGCUCGCCGGAAGACCAAGGGUUCCUGUCCAACGUUAAUCGGGGCAGGGUGAGUCGACCCCUAAGGCGAGGCCGAAAGGCGUAGUCGAUGGGAAACGGGUUAAUAUUCCCGUACUUGGUGUUACUGCGAAGGGGGGACGGAGAAGGCUAUGUUGGCCGGGCGACGGUUGUCCCGGUUUAAGCGUGUAGGUGUGUGUUCCAGGUAAAUCCGGUUCACUUUAACACUGAGGCGUGACGACGAGGCACUACGGUGCUGAAGCAACAAAUGCCCUGCUUCCAGGAAAAGCCUCUAAGCAUCAGGUAACAUCAAAUCGUACCCCAAACCGACACAGGUGGUCAGGUAGAGAAUACCAAGGCGCUUGAGAGAACUCGGGUGAAGGAACUAGGCAAAAUGGUGCCGUAA